UAGAACGCUGAAGAGAGGAGCUUGCUCUUCUUGGAUGAGUUGCGAACGGGUGAGUAACGCGUAGGUAACCUGCCUGGUAGCGGGGGAUAACUAUUGGAAACGAUAGCUAAUACCGCAUAAAAUUGAUUAUUGCAUGAUAAUUAAUUGAAAGAUGCAAUUGCAUCACUACCAGAUGGACCUGCGUUGUAUUAGCUAGUUGGUGAGGUAACGGCUCACCAAGGCGACGAUACAUAGCCGACCUGAGAGGGUGAUCGGCCACACUGGGACUGAGACACGGCCCAGACUCCUACGGGAGGCAGCAGUAGGGAAUCUUCGGCAAUGGGGGGAACCCUGACCGAGCAACGCCGCGUGAGUGAAGAAGGUUUUCGGAUCGUAAAGCUCUGUUGUAAGAGAAGAACGGGUGUGAGAGUGGAAAGUUCACACUGUGACGGUAUCUUACCAGAAAGGGACGGCUAACUACGUGCCAGCAGCCGCGGUAAUACGUAGGUCCCGAGCGUUGUCCGGAUUUAUUGGGCGUAAAGCGAGCGCAGGCGGUUAGAUAAGUCUGAAGUUAAAGGCUGUGGCUUAACCAUAGUAUGCUUUGGAAACUGUUUAACUUGAGUGCAGAAGGGGAGAGUGGAAUUCCAUGUGUAGCGGUGAAAUGCGUAGAUAUAUGGAGGAACACCGGUGGCGAAAGCGGCUCUCUGGUCUGUAACUGACGCUGAGGCUCGAAAG
rnacentral:rRNA from 1 species